rnacentral:lncRNA from 1 species
UUUUCCCACUGGAUUUUUUCUAGUAAGGUUUUAACGAGGCACAUUAUCUAUCAAUUAGACAUUCAAGGGGGAGUGUUAUAAAUAUACCAUAUAUAGUGAAUGUCUACUUUACCAUAUAUAAUGAAUACCUACUUUACCAUAUAUUGUGUAUGUCUAUUUAUGAAAAAGUUACAAACCCCUAGGUUAGUUUUUCCCUAUAAAUAAAGGGGUUUUGAUUCAUUG